rnacentral:misc_RNA from 1 species
AAGUCGUAACAAGGUUUCCGUAGGUGAACCUGCGGAAGGAUCAUUAUUGAAGCUUGUGAGAGCGGGUUCGAUGCUGGCCCUCCGGGGCAUGUGCUCGCCCGCUUGAUACAUCCGCUCAACCCCUGUGCACCCUCGCUGAGACCUUGGGGCCAUCUGGCCUCGAACUCUGCUCUACACAAACACCUUAAAAGUCUAUUGGAAUGUAAAUCUUUAAAUAAAUACAACUUUCAACAACGGAUCUCUUGGCUCUC